UCGCGGCCGGGAUAGAAGCGGCAUCUUUUUUCCGGAGUGAGGUGGCGGAGCGCAGCGGAGCCGACCGAGCGAAGGGAAAAGAUAUAGCGAAUAGCCCGAAUUGUC
rnacentral:sRNA from 1 species